rnacentral:rRNA from 1 species
GAUGAACGCUGGCGGCGUGCCUAAUACAUGCAAGUCGAGCGAACGGACGAGAAGCUUGCUUCUCUGAUGUUAGCGGCGGACGGGUGAGUAACACGUGGAUAACCUACCUAUAAGACUGGGAUAACUUCGGGAAACCGGAGCUAAUACCGGAUGAUAUUUUGAACCGCAUUGUUCAAAAGUGAAAGACGGUCUUGCUGUCACUUAUAGAUGGAUCCGCGCUGCAUUAGCUAGUUGGUAAGGUAACGGCUUACCAAGGCAACGAUGCAUAGCCGACCUGAGAGGGGGAUCGGCCACACGGGAACUGAGGCACGGUCCAGACUCCUACGGGAGGCAGCAGUAGGGAAUCUUCCGCAAAGGGCGAAAGCCUGACGGAGCAACGCCGCGUGAGUGAUGAAGGUCUUCGGAUCGUAAAACUCUGUUAUUAGGGAAGAACAUAUGUGUAAGUAACUGUGCACAUCGUGACGGUACCUUAUCAGAAAGCCACGGCUAACUACGUG